rnacentral:tRNA from 1 species
GCCUCUGUAGCUCAGUUGGUUAGAGCGCUGCACCGGAAUCGCAGGGCCGUGGGUUCAAUUCCUACCAGAGGAC